rnacentral:piRNA from 1 species
GACGAGGUACUUGCGGUCAGUGGCGU